UCUCCAUCAUCCUCUAUCCUUUCCAAAAACCAGACGGCUACUCCUACCUCACACCCUUAUUUACCCACUAGACACUUAACCAAAAUCUCUAAUCCUCCUUCUUACCUAGCAGAUUAUCACUGCAUGCAAACUUCUACAACUUAAACACCUAACAUCCCUUAUCCUUUAUCAUUUGUCUUGUCCUUUGACAAAUGUUCCUCUUAUUAAAAAAAAUUGUUUCUCCUUAUCCUCAUAGCAAGAAC
rnacentral:lncRNA from 1 species